GACGAAGGGGGCUAGCGUUGUUCGGAAUUACUGGGCGUAAAGCGCGUGUAGGCGGUUAUCCAAGUCGGGUGUGAAAGCCUUGAGCUCAACUCAAGAAAUGCACUCGGUACUGGGUGACUAGAGGACCGGAGAGGAUAGUGGAAUUCCCAGUGUAGUGGUGAAAUACGUAGAGAUUGGGAAGAACACCAGUGGCGAAGGCGGCUUACUGGACCGGUUCUGACGCUGAGG
rnacentral:rRNA from 1 species